GGGUGGCGGACUGGGUCUGUCCCCAGUCUCGGUCUGGGCGGGCGCGCGGCCUGGCUUCGCUGGAGCUGUCCUGCGCCUACCGCAGCAGCGGACCGGACCAGGGGCCUGCGGAGGCCAAGUCUGGCGCGAGGCUGAGGCUCAGAGAUCAUUGGAGCAGAACUAAUGGGCAGAAGCAGCCAUUGCAUCUUUUGUUGUCCUUAGUUUGCAGUCAGAUUGGAAAAAUUUCACUUGAAGCUUCCUCAUCUGGAUCAAAGCAGAAAGAUACAUAUCACUCAUAAAAUUGAAGACAUGGGCUUCAACCUGCAUUUCCACCUUUCCUACAAGUUACGGUUACUGUUGCUUUUUACCUUAUGCCUGACGGUGGUUGGAUGGGCCACCAGUAACUACUUUGUGGGUGCUAUUCAAGAGAUUCCCAAAGCAAAGGAUUUCAUGGCUAACUUUAAGGCCAUAGCUUUGGGGAAGGAAGAAACUCUGACUAAUGAAGCCUCCAUGAAAAAAGCAGAACUUGACAACUGUCCUUAUAUAUCUCCAGACCUCAGAGGCCAGAGCAAGCUUAUUUUCAAACCAGAUCUCACUUUAGAAGAAGUACAGGCUAAAAACCCCAAGGUGCACAGAGGCCGGUAUCGCCCUGAGGAGUGUAAAGCUCUUCAGCGGGUCGCCAUCCUCAUUCCCCACCGGAACCGAGAGAAGCACCUGAUGUACCUGUUGGAACACCUUCAUCCCUUCCUGCAGAGGCAGCAGCUGGAGUAUGGCAUCUACAUCAUCCACCAGGCUGGAACUAAAAAGUUUAAUCGAGCCAAACUCUUGAAUGUGGGCUAUUUAGAAGCUCUCAAGGAAGAAAACUGGGACUGCUUUAUCUUUCAUGAUGUGGACCUGGUGCCUGAGAAUGACUAUAACCUUUACAUGUGUGAGGAUCAGCCCAAGCAUCUGGUGGUGGGCAGGAACAGCACUGGGUACAGGUUACGUUACAGUGGAUAUUUUGGGGGUGUUACUGCCCUAAGCAGACAGCAGUUUUUCAAGGUGAAUGGAUUCUCUAACAACUACUGGGGAUGGGGAGGCGAAGACGAUGACCUCAGACUCAGGGUUGAGCUCCAUAAAAUGAAAAUACUACGGCCAAAGCCUGAAGUGGGUAAAUACACGAUGAUCUUCCACACUAGAGACCAGGGCAACGAGGUGAAUGUGGAACGAUAGCCAUCUUACACCUGCUGAGAGGUUCUGCUAGGUCUCUAAGAUAUACACAAGGGAGCAGCUUACAAGUCCCACUCUCAGGGAGCACACCUGUACAGAACAUUUCAGAAUCUCAGAGGUCAGAAGAAGAUAAACCAGCAUCUGUUGAACAUCUGGUGUCCUUCGUAACCAGGACCUUGGUAUAUCAGAGAAGAGCCAGUAGCCAGGCACACAGUGUCUCAGUGGCAUCCUCCUCCCACAUCCCGUCACUCAUGUGAAUAAAGCAGAGCUCACCAGGUGUACUGGUGGGGUUUGUGUUGUGCGUGUGCAUGGGGCACAUGGGCUGCACACCCAUGGUGGCACAUAAUGCUUCCCUGUGACACCAUCUCUAUUUCUAGCUGGAAAAUAGUGGGCAGCAGAUUUCCUUUAAGUCUAGGUGAGAGUUCUGCCUUUGCCUUUCUCGGCUUUACACGUGCACUUUUGGUCCUCGUGUCCUUUUUGAGAAGGGGGACUGUGGUCAGAGUCAGUGGGGGAGGGCAGGGAAAAACGUCCUCCUCCUUUGCUCCUGUGAAGCUUUCUGAACAGAAUCCUCUACUGCCCACGCCACCUGGAUGGUAAAAACCUCUGUCUGCUGUCAGGAGACCUUCAGAGGCCGGCCCUGAACUGUUUUUCCCUGUAUUGGCUCCACCUUGAUCCUUGUCAAGAGAUAUGCUGCUCCUCUCACAGAGCCUCAGGACAUCUCUGUGGGACUCUGGAAGGGUGGCAUGGGGUGCAGGUGAAGGCUGUCUUUAGGGACACGUGCCUCUCCUCUCCCUCUUCCUUGCAUUCCUUUCCCCACCCUCCCAAAGUGGGUGCAUUUGCCCUUGAACUAACUUACACUAAGGAAAUAGAGAAUGGCAAGGGUCUGCAUUCCCUGAGUACCAGGACAGUGGUUUGCUUACAGGAAAAGUAAACCAACAGGUACCUAAAGUUGUGGGACUUGUUUUCUAAAAGUCAAACUCAGACCCUGAGCAUUUGGGCAGGAAAGUUAUUUCAGAGGUUGGGAGUGUGUGUGUGUGUGUGUGUGUGUGUGUGUGUGUGUGUGUGUGUUUUCCCAUGGCAACACAAGAAACUUCUGUCCUGGUGCAUGGGGGCAGGCAGUAGAGAUCUAGGUGCAACUUAGAGGUUUCUUAUCUCUGCUGGCCUCAAAUUUGCUUCCAUCUAUUAAGGCAGGUCACAGUCUUGCUGUAUGUGGUUUGGGGACAGGGUUAGAGCCUCCACAGGUGGGUGUGAGUGGAAGGGCACUUGCAGUGGGGCUUGUCAAGGUUUUCUUGAUGUGGGAAGGGCAGGCCCUCAUAUAAAUCCAGCAGCCUUGAGCUCAAAAAUCUUCAAAAAUCCUCCUGCUUUCUCUGAAAUCUUCAUGGCUACUUGGCAUUUUAUGUCCUUACAUAUUAAUGAUUAAUAUUAAAAUAGUAUUUAAAACUACUUCUUGUCAAGGGCAAAAAAUCUAAUAAACAAGUUCUCACAAUUU